UCUGCAUCGACAAACACCACCAUACAUUUUCACAUUUCAAUAGAUCAAGAUCCAAUCAAAUUCUAAUCACCAUGAACAACCCUCCUCCUCCCUCUCCUCCCCCAAUGAGGGAGAGAGGGAAAAGAUCUCUUAAAAGGAAAUUGGAUUUUGAGGCAGUGAGACAAUACCAUCUGACAUUCAGGUAAACGAAAGACAGAAGACAGAACGCGAGCGUACCUUCUUUGAAGCCUUCUUCUCUCGAACCUCGUAUCUCUCCUGGGACAAGUCAGAGAGCCAAACACCAGGACUCACCAGCUGCAUACAAAACAGAGAGUCAAAUACAGACUCAAUCAACAACUCAUUUGAGAAAGAAUAGGAUCUUCUACAUUCCUAUGAUAAAACAACUUACAAGCACACUCCUUUGGAUCAAUUUAGCCCUUUUCUUAGGCCUCUGAGGAAGCUUACACCCUUUCAUCGCCAUGAAAUCCUCUUCCUUCUCCUUGUUGGAUAAGGAGAGGAACAAUUUGGGCCAGACAACCACCCCUUUGUCGUUCUUCAUGUUGUGAUCCAACAACACCUUCCCAUUCUCAUCUGCACCCAACGAUCCCCUCGUUGUGUAGAACCGGUCUUCCUUCUCCGGCGACGCCUUGCGUUUAUUCAUGUGCGCCUCCGAGUUCCUACUGAUCAAUCAGCGUAUACCACGAAAAAUCACCAGUGCGUUGAAUUUUGCUCUCUUGCUUUUUAAUCAAAUCUUUACUUGAAAGUUAAAGAGAUUUGGACCGAUGGAGUAAAUUCAGGGUCAAACAGUGUGUAACUGCCAAUGUAUGGCAAACAGUGGUAGUAGAUCAAAGGCAUCUGCCAAGUGAUUCAUAAA